rnacentral:rRNA from 1 species
GACGAACCGUGCAAACGUUAUUCGGAAUCACUGGGCAUAAAGGGCGCGUAGGCGGCUCUACAAGUCAGGGGUGAAAUCCGGCAGCUUAACUGUCGCAGUGCCUUUGAUACUGUAGAGCUCGAGGGAGGUAGGGGUCUGUGGAACUUCCGGUGGAGCGGUGAAAUGCGUUGAUAUCGGAAGGAACGCCGGUGGCGAAAGCGACGGACUGGAUCUCUUCUGACGCUGAGGCGCGAAAGCCAGGGGAGCAAACGGG